rnacentral:misc_RNA from 1 species
UAGUCCGUCCUCGAUGGGCUUAGCGGGGUGUAACCACUCCUAUCCCUCGUCCAUGCAUGUGUUUGGUUCGUGACGGAGUGUUCUAGAGGCGACACGCAUCGGCAAGAGACGGUGCUGAUAGGCAAGCGCACGCGAGCCAUCGCGAGUGGGUCCAUCAAGCGUGCUGCUGCACAGGGCAGGACACGGCUUCUCCCCCUCCCUCGUUCAUUUUUCUUUUCUGUUCGGUACUACUCUGUGUAUUGUUGGUUGUGGCACUAACAGCUCUGUCGCUCACUUUCUUUCCCUUGCAGCGCCAACAAGCGUACACGUGCCUCAUCUCUUCCCUCCUCCGACCAACCCACCCACCUGCCCUUGCUCUUUCUGAGUCGGUGGGCAGCUCUAGUGAUCUGCUCGCGCACCGUUCACGAUGCCGCCGGCGAACGGCUCUGUCAAGGAUGACCCGGUGGCCUUCGAGCAAUCGGGCAUCACUGGCCGCGACAAGGUGCGCGAGCAUGGCAUCCCAUACACCAGCCCCGGUGGCGGCGAGGUGUACCGCGACGGCACCGUGAGCGGCUUUGUACGCUCCAUCUACGAGUACCUCGUCGAUGAGCACCACCGGCCGAGCUACUCGUCCACCAUGAUCCGAGGUCCCGACCUGCACACCCGCCCGCCGGCGUGGCUGGAAGACAAGAACACGGCCAUCGAUGGCUCGCCGCUGACGUCUGUGGAGCGCAACGCGCCUGGGUACUGGUCUACGGUGUACAAAAAAGAGCUCGAGGUGGCGGAGGCCAUUCAAGAGGUGAAGCGGCAGCGUCGAUAUGAGCAAGACAACGACCUGGUCGGCUUCAUAAACCGCGCACGACGGUACUUUGGCCUCUCUCCCCAACUCGACGAGGCGGCGGCGAGGAGCCAAGUCGAGUCCCGCCACCGCCUAGAGGACGAGGCGCGGCGGCUGCGCGCAUCCACAGCGCCGGGAGCCUCAAAUGACGAAGUGGCGCAAGGGGAGGAGGACUGUGGUGCGUCGUCGUCGCCACAUCCAAUCGGCACGCUGCCCCGAAACGGAACUACUGAGCUCUUGGCAAACGUGCCACAGCAGCGCCGGAGCGAGAACGGCGGAAAUGGCGUGCGGCACACGGGUGGGGUGCUGACAGCGCCGUGGUUGGCGUUGCUGGAGUCUAUUGAGACAGGUCGGCCCCUCGCAAGAGUGGCGAACGAGUACCGGCCUCGCGUUGACUACUACGGCCUCGACCCAUUCCUCGACUCGGCACCGUCUGUGGUGUGGUUCAGCACGAAGUGCGGCAUCGCCAUCGGUCUCGCCCACGGCACCGCAAAGGCCGUGCAGGCGAUGAACGUGGAUGUGCAGUUCCUGAAGGCGUCGGGGGUCGGCGUGCUGUCGAUCCUAAACAUGUCUGUCUUCGCCAGUGUCGUGAAGUGGGGUGGUAACACGGCCAUCUUCGCGUGCGCCUUCUGCGUCGGCGACCGACUGAUGCGGUGGAUCAAGUCGUACACGCUGCCGCCGCACGAUGCGCAGUGCCGCUCCACAUCGAACUACGUGAUGGGUCUCUCCUUCUCUGGAGCCAUGGUGGGUGUGCUGCCGUGGUGGGUGUUAAACGACACGGGGUUGGCAAUGCGCAUGGCGGCGUCAGGGCUCGCCGUCGGUGGGGCUCUGGGGCUGAUGGUGGGCCUGAGCGUCCAACAGCUUGUGGCUCUGAACACGGCGCGGCUGGACGCAAACAACCGGCAACUGCGUCGUUACGAGGCCCUGUUGGCUCGCCAGCGAGAGUGGGCGGAGCAGGUUCGGAGCAAGUACACUAGUUCCACGUACGUCUGGUGGUAAGAGAGAGGGGGGGAGUGUGUGAUGGAAAAGGAGGGGUCGGCUCACCGCGCACCUCACGAAAGGCGGUGCGGCAUUUCUCGCGUUUUUUUUACUGUAUCCCUCUGUGCUCAGUUUGGGCCAGGCCGCUCCCGCCAUCGAAGGCGCACUUUCGUGGGCUCGCGUGUGCACUGCGGCACUUGUCAAGCGCGUGUGGAUGUUGGGAAGCGACGGCGCGCAAGUCCUUCACAGGGUGUGUGGUUCUGUUGUGUGGACGGAGACGGAAAAGACCGACUCGUAAACGGGCACUUUGUGAGCCUGCGUGUAC